rnacentral:lncRNA from 1 species
AACUAAGCAACUAGAAUUCCAAAGAAGGACAAGCCCCUCCAAAGACAGGAAGCAUGAGGGCAGGCUCAUCAGUGUCAGAGCAGGGGAGACCAGCACAGACACCUUACAAGCAGAAUGACCUUCUGUGGCUACAGAGAAAGGCUUCAGGCAAAGAGAUGCAGCUCUGGGCCCCAGAGUCCGCUGGAGCACACUGAAGCUGGAGCACACUGAAGUGGAAGAUGGGGCUGCAGACAGAGACUGGGCAGCCUCUGCUCCAGGGAGGCCCGAGAGCCAGAGAGCAGAUUCCAUAAGAAGAAUAACUCCCAUUCCUCAUGCAUGAGACCCUCUGCUAAAUGCUUCCUGUGCACCACCUCCAGAAAUCCUCCCAAGCCAGGACACCAGCAGUAUUACAGGUAAGAAAAUGGAGGCUCCCAGAGAUUUGACAACCUGCCCGCAGCAAUGACCAAAUCAGACUUGGUGCUAAGUCUGCACCUCCCCAAAGUCAGUGUGUUUGUAUGCUCUGCUGCCACUGCCCCCCGCUGGCCCUGCACAUGAUGUGAACCAUCAGGCAGACCUGGAGUUCUGUCUCCUGGGUGGGCUGCUUGCCAACACCAGGGUGGCUGGCCCCUGCCUGUGUCAGGUCCUGCAGUGUUGACUCUCUUCGUGUGAUGUUGGGCAGGUGGAGCUGGUUGUGCUGAGCCUGAGGAAACAUCCAAUGUGCCAAACUUUCUUGUGUGUUUCCCUCUGCUGGUUAUUUAGUAAGCCCAGGAAAAGAGCAAAUCCUGCCCCCAACAGAUGAUCCUCUCGAUGAGAGUGGUUAUGGUGAUGAUGCCAGCAUGCAGUGGGGAGAUUCGACUUUUCGAGAUUCUUCCAGCCCUUUGCUUCCCACAUUUCAUAAUGCUUGAUGGCAACAGCUCUGCUGACUGUUUGGGAAAAAGACAAUACUUAUGUCCCUUUUAGAGACACUUUACUCAGUCCCUCCCGCAAUGCUUAGUACGCAGAGAAAAUAGUAA